rnacentral:rRNA from 1 species
AGAGUUUGAUCAUGGCUCAGGAUGAACGCUAGCGGCAGGCUUAAUACAUGCAAGUCGAGGGGUAACAUGGGUAGCAAUACCUGAUGACGACCGGCAAACGGGUGCGGAACACGUACGCAACCUUCCCAUAACUGGUGAAUAGCCUUUCGAAAGAGAGAUUAAUACACCGUAACAUAACGAGUAGGCAUCUACUUGUUAUUAUAGGCUUCGGCCGGUUUUGGAUGGGCGUGCGCCUGAUUAGGUAGUUGGCGGGGUAACGGCCCACCAAGCCUGCGAUCAGUAACUGGUGUGAGAGCACGACCAGUCACACGGGCACUGAGACACGGGCCCGACUCCUACGGGAGGCAGCAGUAAGGAAUAUUGGUCAAUGGACGAAAGUCUGAACCAGCCAUGCCGCGUGAAGGAUGAAGGCCCUCUGGGUUGUAAACUUCUUUUAUCUGGGACGAAAAAAGCUCAUUCUUGAGCACUUGACGGUACCAGAGGAAUAAGCACCGGCUAACUCCGUGCCAGCCGCCGCGGUAAUAC